rnacentral:rRNA from 1 species
GGUGAGUAACGCGUAUCCAACCUGCCCACCACUUGGGGAUAACCUUGCGAAAGUAAGACUAAUACCCAAUGAUAUCUCUAGAAGACAUCUGAAAGAGAUUAAAGAUUUAUCGGUGAUGGAUGGGGAUGCGUCUGAUUAGCUUGUUGGCGGGGUAACGGCCCACCAAGGCAACGAUCAGUAGGGGUUCUGAGAGGAAGGUCCCCCACAUUGGAACUGAGACACGGUCCAAACUCCUACGGGAGGCAGCAGUGAGGAAUAUUGGUCAAUGGACGAGAGUCUGAACCAGCCAAGUAGCGUGCAGGAUGACGGCCCUAUGGGUUGUAAACUGCUUUUAUAAGGGAAUAAAGUGAGUCUCGUGAGAUUUUUUGCAUGUACCUUAUGAAUAAGGACCGGCUAAUUCCGUGCCAGCAGCCGCGGUAAUACGGAAGGUCCGGGCGUUAUCCGGAUUUAUUGGGUUUAAAGGGAGCGUAGGCCGGAGAUUAAGCGUGUUGUGAAAUGUAGAUGCUCAACAUCUGCACUGCAGCGCGAACUGGUUUCCUUGAGUACGCACAAAGUGGGCGGAAUUCGUAGUGUAGCGGUGAAAUGCUUAGAUAUCACGAAGAACCCCGAUUGCGAAGGCAGCUUGCUAAACUGUAACU